AACAAGCUUUAUGUUAAUUGAUAUCUUUUAAAUUAUUUGUCAUAAGGAUAAGCUUAUAUACAAAAUUAAUAUUAAUAUAAGAAAAAGAUUAGAAAUAUCUUUUUAAUUUAUUCAUAAUAGAAAAUUUAUCACUAUCAUCACUCUAAUCAGCUAUUACUAAUAAACUUAAUUUAUGUUUAAUAUAAUAUAUAAUAGUGAGUAGAUUCGUAAAUAAUAUUUUAAAACUCGACAACUAGAAUCCUAAUGUUUAAUAAAAACAUUGCAUUAUAACAUAUAAUGUAAUACCUGCCCAGUGAUUAAAUAAUUUUAACGGCCGCAGUAAAUUGACUGUGCAAAGGUAGCAUAAUCAUUUGUUUAAUAAAUUUAAACUUGAAUGAAAGGGAAAAAGAGAUUCUAAUUCUUAAAAAGUUAUUUAAUCGAAAUCAAUAAUAAAGUUAAAAUACUUUAUUUAUUUAUUAAAACGAGAAGACCCUAGAAAUUUAAAAAUUUUUUUGGGAUAAAAUAUUCAUAUAAAUUAAGUAACUAAAUUAAAUAUAAUAAAAUUACUCUAGGGAUAACAGCAAAAUUAAAAUUAAAAGACCUAAUUUAAAUUUUAGUUUUUGACCUCGAUGUUGAAUUAUUUUUACUUAUGUGACGCAAAUAUCACAUAAAUUUUGUUUGUUCGACAAAACCAAUUUUACAUGAUUUGAGUUUAGACCGUUGUAAAACAGGUCGGAUUCUCUUUAAUAAAUAUUUAAUAUAAUGAUCUUUUAGUACGAAAGGAAUUAAGAACACAAUUUCUUUGAAAAAUAAUGAUAAAAUCAAAAAAUUUUAUUUUUAAACUUCUAAGUUCAAGAGUUUUA
rnacentral:rRNA from 1 species